CAUGGCUGCUGGCUUGAAGCGAGACCCAAUAGUCAUCCUUCGUAUGGAUGGUGAAGACCUAUCAGAGUUCAUCAACGGACCAAGUUAUGAAGCAGAAAUGGUAUCUAUAUUUUCGCAGUUAGUAUCACCUGAUGUGGAUCACUCCAUGAUUUCAUUGUUAAAGCCUUGGAAAAGAUUACAGUUGAUCAAGGAAUCCCCCCGUCUUCAGAUUCCUGGGUAAUGAGCAACAUUGUGGAACCAGCCCUAGAAUCUUGCACUGUCCAAGAUCUUGAUAAACCUAUCUCUCAAGAAACAUUCUUGGUGGAAUUCAAGAAAGUAGCUGAACAUGUGGCUCAACAUCUCAAAGAACAGCCAGUUAUUGUUGCUCAUAGUGAAAAUACCUUUGAUGGGAGUGGCAUUAGGAGGCUGUUAACCAAUAAGUUUGAAUUAGACAAGACUCUGAACACAGCUUUAGAAAAUGUACCAAAAGAUCGAAAUGGGAAAAUGUCCCAGGAGUAUUU
rnacentral:misc_RNA from 1 species